UACAGUAUAUGAAAUUAUUCUUGUCUACUCUUAUUAUUAAGAGUAUCACUUUUCGUUCUAGGAUUUUUGAGUUUUUCGCUAUGCAUUUCUCUCAUUCUGCGUCGAACUGCCAUCACUCACGGCACCUCUUCUUCGUCGCUUCACCCAAUCUCCUCGCGUAGAAGUGCCGACUCUUCAAUUUUCCACCACCGCCACCUUCUCCUCCUCUUCACACCACGUGCUACACUGAACUACUCAAUUGAUGUUCUUCGUUGUCGCCUCCUCCUCACUCUGCAUUCUCUGAUGCUGGUUCUUGCCACAAUCUCCAUCUUCGUUGCUGCCUCUACCACAAACUUUGAUCUCUGGAAUCGAAAUGCAUGUGGAUGUGCUUCAAUAUUUGCUGAUUAACUUGAUAUCUGGCAGAAUCCAUUGCAAUUAGUAUGAUUUUCUGGUCUGUUAGUGCAUUAGAUUCUCUUGAUUAAUAGGUUUGAUAGAAGUAUCCUGAUUCAUGGUGAUUCUUCAACGGUUGAACUCAAUAAUUCCAAUAUGGUAAAAUUCUAGUUUUCGUCUAGUUUUUGUCUUUUAUUAUUUCUCUCAAGACACGAGUUCCAGCACUAAGCACUAACCAAAGCGGAGUAUUCGAAUUCCUCUUUUCAUAGACAUCAAGAAUGGCCAGAAAUUCUUGUGUCUACUACUCUGGCUAAUAACAUAUAAUUUGAAUUGUUACAUUUUAUAGUUUUGAGUAAUUAAUAACUCAUUUGAAAGAUACUAGUGUUUUGGAUGAAUGAAUGAAUAUUGGAUGCUUCAGUUACAAGCAUAUAGUAUGGAUUAUUUGAUUUUAUAAUAUGAAUGAAAAUUGAUGGUCCACCAUCCUUACAAGAGACAUGAAUGUACUACUGUUUAUUAACUCCAUUCUCACACAAAUCAGUGACAAGUAGCCAAAAUGAACCUUCCCUACUUUAAUUUCACCCCUUCCAAUUCCAAGCACUACAUUUACAUUAUUUACUAUGAUAUUAAAUAAUUAAUUAGUAUAAGGAGCCUCAUUGACUUAGACUUAUUUUGAUGGGUCUAUACUCCAUAGUUCAUGGUCUUCUUAUAUUAUUUAUUUCAACUCCUUUUCUUAGCAGCCACUUUCAUUUUCUUUCCCUUCACUUCCUUCAUUCAUUCACACAUACUUGAAGAAUAAUAAUGGGAAGACCCCUUACUGUUACAAGCAGAAGCUUCGGAAGGGUCUAUGAUCUCCUAAAGAGGAUGAAAAGCUUCUCAGGCAUAUCACUAAGUACGGUCAUGGAUGUUGGAGCUCUGUUCCUAAGCAAGCUGGUUUGCAGAGGUGUGGUAAAAGUUGCAGUCUUGGAGGCAAGAAUUGCUUUCGAGACUUGAGAGUUAGGCUUCAAAAUUACCAAAAUCAAUUUUACCACCUCCCCACUAUGUUCUGAUUUUGUGAUAGUUUUGAGUUCAAUUUGGUGACUUGUUAACAUUCGCUUCCAUUUAAAUAAUUUGGUUGCUUUUCCAGUGGAACCAUGAGAUAAAUCUGUUGAAAUUAUGAGGAAGUUCUCAGAGCUUAAUGCCCGUAGGUCAGGAACAUAUUUUUGUGUUGAUAAGGGAGUCACCUCUGUUGCUAUCAAGGAAGAGGUCAUAUUGGAGCAUCCAUGAAAGCAAAACUUUAUAACCUGCUGGAGCAUAGAGCUUAAGAAUGCCGAUAUAUUGUCAUUCCUGUUUGGAGAGGAAGUGGUUAUACGACAAUGUUUGUUGAAGGAAUGGGACACCGAGGCAACCGUUACUUGUACCACUUGCUAGAGCCUGUUUGGUUUUUAAUGCCACUCGUGUUCUGCCAGCAUAUCUUGAGGGUCUAGCUGAAUAUUCUCACUGCUAGGGUUUAUAUGUAUUUCAUUUAAAUACAGAUCUUGAGAAACUAUGGAAGCUUGUAGUAUUUUUUUGUUAUUUAGAUUUGUAACAUGGUUUAUUACUUUUUAAGAGAAAUUUAUGUAUCAGUAUUGAGUUUAAUGAAAUAUCUCAUUUUGUAGUAAUUAA